rnacentral:piRNA from 1 species
UAUCAGGACACAAGAUGGCAAGAAGGGC